rnacentral:misc_RNA from 1 species
GAUGAAGAACGCAGCGAAAUACGAUACGUAAUGUGAAUUGCAGAAUUCAGUGAAUCAUCGAGUCUUUGAACGCACAUUGCGCCCCCUGGUAUUCCGGGGGGCAUGCCUGUCCGAGCGUCAUUGCUGCCCUCAAGCACGGCUUGUGUGUUGGGCCUCCGUCCUCCUCCCGGGGGACGGGCCCGAAAGGCAGCGGCGGCACCGCGUCCGGUCCUCGAGCGUAUGGGGCUUCGUCACCCGCUCUUGUAGGCCCGGCCGGCGCUUGCCGACACAUCAAUCUUUUUUCCAGGUUGACCUCGGAUCAGGUAGGGAUACCCGCUGAACUUAAGCAUAUCAAUAAGCGGAGGA